GUAAUAAAAUUAGAAGAAUGAGAAGUGUGGGUUGAACCAACACAGAGGACGUUUAAAAUACCAACGUCUUCAUCAUUCAACACCUUGUAUGUUUCAAAUUAACCGGUUUCGGAACUGUGAGCAUUUAAAGUUUUCUCCCCAAACUGAUAUUGUGGGAAUUAAUCAGGUGGUUUCUCUCUGAGUAUAAAUUUCUAUCAACUUGUAAAGUUUUUUUUAUUGAUUGCAACACCCUUUGCGCCGUGUAUCAUCAUGUUUCUUCAAAUCGGGGCUUGAACGGUUAAAAGUUUUGGGAAGUGGGUUGGUUUUCACCCACAAGUCCAUAAAUAACUGCAACUUCAGUUGAUUUCUUGCUGAAUAUUAUUUUCCAGCGUUUGAAUGAUGUUACUUAAGUUACAUUUAAAUGUUUUAUAUUGGGACAACAAAAGAUGUCGAUUAGGUUCAAAGGUAGAUUGCGUUUUCGUAAUCUUUAAUUAUUUCGUUAAUCAGGUGCGUGUGCGUAAUUUUAACUGCAUUAAAAUGAUGCUUUGUUCUAGUCAGACAGUCAACGUCUAGACCCUUAACUGAGUAUAAAGGAAGGGUCAACUUUCCAUUUUGUUCAGGUCGCAGCUGACUCAAUUCAAAGAUAGGCAGUCUGCCUAAGAAACAAUAAGUCACUAGCAGACAGAUUUGCUAGAUUUGUGCCUUACUAUGAACUCCUUGCCGACUUAAUACGGUCUUUUGAAAAUAAUGCAGGUCUCCAACAUUCGAAAACGUCUGUUUGUCUUUGCCGAUUUUUGCUAGUAUCUUAUGAAAAUACUGGCAUUUUUUACUAGUUUGAGGUGCGUAUUGUAUCGUGAAGAAAGCUCAAGGAAAAUCCCUAAUCAUCUCUUGUGAAGCAAAUGGAAAACUUGUGGUUUUAGACCCAACACUUGUAAAAUCCCGUUAAUUCACUUAAAUCACCGAAAGUCUACCUAUUUUAGGUAACGUGCUGGAGCCAAAGCCAGAACUAUAUUAAAUAAAAAGCGUAAUUUUUUCGCCAUUGUGAUCUACUAAAAAAGUUUAAAUACCGGAGUAUAGCACAGAAAGUCAAUUUUGGAUGCGUUUGAUAGUGCAAUGUCUAUAAGCGGAUAGUUUAAAUUGGAAAAAAAAAUUGGUUGUCUUUGUAGGUCGGGCUUUAGUAUUUAUUUAUUUAGAAACCCCCAAAGCGCAAAAAUCGCUUUUAUAUGUAUUUUGAAGUGCAAAGUCUGUUUUAUAAGUGACAAAAGUUUCUAAUUUCAGUCAUUAUCAAGUGUUUAAAACCGCGUCUGGUUGUUGUGCUGUUUUUUUGCAGGCCACAGUUUAUUAUUUAUUUACUCUGUAAUUUGCGACGUGAGAAAAUCAAUUUUGGAUGCGUUUUAUAGCGCAAAGUCUCGUCUUUAAGUGGACAAAGUUUCGAUUUUCAGCCACCAUUAGGUAAUUUUUGACGGCCGGGGUUUGUCAUAUGAGAAUCGCCAAACUCGCUAAUCGCUUUUGUAUGUAUUAUGUAAGUGGAAAAUGUUUAGAUUAUCAGUCAUCAUCAGGCGAUUUUUAAGAAUUUUUCAAAAUUGCAUGUAGUUUUUGCGGUUAUUUAAGCAGAUCGAAGUUUGGCAUUUAUUUGCCUGGGAACUUGCAUAGUUAGAAAGUGACUUAUUUGCUACAUUUGUAUGGCAAAACUGCUCCAUAAAUGGAAAGUUUCGAUUUUGACGCAUUCUUGCAACAUUUAUUUCUUCAGAAAUCAAUCCGGUGACUUGUAUGAAUUUUGGUAGCCAUAGACUGUUUUGAGUCAUUAUCGGGCUAUUUUCAAUUCAUCAGUUUUAGUAUUACUUUGCGAUAUAAUUUCGUGGUUGUUUGUGCACGCUUAAGUUUGACGUUUAUUUUUUCAGAAAGCAGUGAAGUUUUAAAUAUAAUUUCGAGUAUAUUUUGUGGGGCAAAGUGCGUUCUAUAAGUGGAAAACGUUUCAGUGUCGAUUCAUUCUCAGCCAAUUUAUUGAGAAGCUUUUUAAUGAGCUUUGGAUUUUUGAAGUUGCUCUUUCAGGCAUCUAUGAGCAUUUGAACUUUCCAACUUGAUAUUGUGGGAGCUUUUCGUCAACUCGGGGUUUGGACUGAUAAAUAUCUUGAAAGAUUGUGUACGCAGUUUUAGCUGCGUUAAAAUUGUGUUUUACCUAUUUAAACGGUCAGAGUAUUCACGUAUAGAGAAAUGAUUCAAGCUAUUGUGGGGUUGGCCAAAAUUUUUCAUUAUUACACCAUGGGUUAACUAAUGUCUGAAUUUGCAAGAAAAAGUUGAGAAGGUAAUCUAAAAGCAGAAGAUCCUAUCCCAUGAAUUCCAAAUAGUUUUUCCAAAAAAACAACCGUUCUUGUUCAUGACGGUCUAGCUUCGGAAAUAGUAGAUUAUUUGGUUCAUGAU